rnacentral:rRNA from 1 species
UCAGGCCUAACACAUGCAAGUCGAGCGGAAACGAGUUAUCUGACCCUUCGGGUGACGAUAACGGCGUCGAGCGGCGGACGGGUGAGUAAUGCCUGGGAAAUUGCCCUGAUGUGGGGGAUAACCAUUGGAAACGAUGGCUAAUACCGCAUAAUAGCUUCGGCUCAAAGAGGGGGACCUUCGGGCCUCUCGCGUCAGGAUAUGCCCAGGUGGGAUUAGCUAGUUGGUGAGGUAAGGGCUCACCAAGGCGACGAUCCCUAGCUGGUCUGAGAGGAUGAUCAGCCACACUGGAACUGAGACACGGUCCAGACUCCUACGGGAGGCAGCAGUGGGGAAUAUUGCACAAUGGGCGCAAGCCUGAUGCAGCCAUGCCGCGUGUAUGAAGAAGGCCUUCGGGUUGUAAAGUACUUUCAGCAGUGAGGAAGAUGGGUAUGUUAAUAGCAUACUCAUUUGACGUUAGCUGCAGAAGAAGCACCGGCUAACUCCGUGCCAGCAGCCGCGGUAAUACGGAGGGUGCGAGCGUUAAUCGGAAUUACUGGGCGUAAAGCGCAUGCAGGUGGAUGAUUAAGUCAGAUGUGAAAGCCCGGGGCUCAACCUCGGAAUAGCAUUUGAAACUGGUUAUCUAGAGUACUGUAGAGGGGGGUAGAAUUUCAGGUGUAGCGGUGAAAUGCGUAGAGAUCUGAAGGAAUACCGGUGGCGAAGG